rfam:Rhizobium oryziradicis strain N19 scaffold11, whole genome shotgun sequence.
UACGUAUUUUGCCCAGGCGGAGCUCAACCGCCCACUGAAGCGAUGAUUUCCUUCAUCGACGAACACCACUCGGUGCUCGGGGUCGAGCCGAUCUGCAGACUGCUGCCGAUUGCCCCG